UAAAUCUAUGAAUCAAAUAGGCGUAUAUGUUCAUAAUAUGGUUGAACGUUUCUACCAGCUACCGUAAAGAGUUGACUACGAAAACAAUUGUUUCGUGG
rfam:Clostridium sp. CAG:127 genomic scaffold, scf130